rnacentral:rRNA from 1 species
AAUAGAUACCCAGGUAGUCCACGCCGUAAACGAUGAAUGCUAGGUGUCAGGGGCGUAAGAGCCCUUGGUGCCGAAGUUAACACAUUAAGCAUUCCGCCUGGGGAGUACGGUCGCAAGACUGAAACUCAAAGGAAUUGACGGGGACCCGCACAAGCAGUGGAGCAUGUGGUUUAAUUCGAAGCAACGCGAAGAACCUUACCAGGUCUUGACAUCCCUCUGACCGGUCUAGAGAUAGGCCUUUCCUUCGGGACAGAGGAGACAGGUGGUGCAUGGUUGUCGUCAGCUCGUGUCGUGAGAUGUUGGGUUAAGUCCCGCAACGAGCGCAACCCUUGAAUCCAGUUGCCAGCACGUGGGGUGGGCACUCUGGAUUGACUGCCGGUGACAAACCGGAGGAAGGUGGGGAUGACGUCAAAUCAUCAUGCCCCUUAUGACCUGGGCUACACACGUGCUACAAUGGCCGGUACAACGGGCUUGCGAAGCGGUGACGCGGAGCGAAUCCUUCAAAGCCGGUCUCAGUUCGGAUUGC